rnacentral:tRNA from 1 species
UCCCUGGUGGUCCAGUGGCUAAGACUGUGCACUCCCAAGGCAGGGGGCCCUGGUUCGAUCCCUGGUUAGGGAA